UACGGAGGGAGCUAGCGUUGUUCGGAAUUACUGGGCGUAAAGCGCACGUAGGCGGCUAUUCAAGUCAGAGGUGAAGGCCCGGGGCUCAACCCCGGAACUGCCUUUGAAACUAGAUAGCUAGAAUCUUGGAGAGGUCAGUGGAAUUCCGAGUGUAGAGGUGAAAUUCGUAGAUAUUCGGAAGAACACCAGUGGCGAAGGCGACUGACUGGACAAGUAUUGACGCUGAGGUGCGAAAGCGUGGGGAGCAAACAGG
rnacentral:rRNA from 1 species